UACGAAGGGGCUAGCGUUGCUCGGAAUCACUGGGCGUAAAGGGUGCGUAGGCGGGUCUUUAAGUCAAGGGGUGAAAUCCUGGAGCUCAACUCCAGAACUGCCUUUGAUACUGAGGAUCUUGAGUUCGGGAGAGGUGAGUGGAACUGCGAGUGUAGAGGUGAAAUUCGUAGAUAUUCGCAAGAACACCAGUGGCGAAGGCGGCUCACUGGCCCGAUACUGACGCUGGAGGCACGAAAGCGUGGGAGCAAACAG
rnacentral:rRNA from 1 species